rnacentral:rRNA from 1 species
UACGGGGGGGGGCAAGCGUUUGUUCGGAAUUACUGGGCGUAAAGGGCGCGUAGGCGGUUGGAUAAGUCAGCUGUGAAAACCACGGGCUUAACUCGUGGCCUGCAGUUGAGACUGUCUGGCUUGAGUGUGGGAGAGGAGAGUGGAAUUCCUGGUGUAGCGGUGAAAUGCGUAGAUAUCAGGAGGAACACCGGUGGCGAAGGCGGGUCUCUGGGCCGAUACUGACGCUGAGGAGCGAAAGCGUGGGGAGCGAACAGG